CCUACGGGAGGCAGCAGUGGGGAAUUUUGCGCAAUGCUCGUAAGAGUGACGCAGCGACGCCGCGUGAAUGACGAAGGCCUUCGGGUCGUAAAGUUCUUUCGACAGGGAAGAAAAUGCCUAUAAGUAACUGUGUAUGUAUUGACGGUACCUGUAUAAGCAGCCCCGGCUAACUCCGCGCCAGCAGCCGCGGUAAUACGGAGGGGGCGAGCGUUGUUCGGAGUGACUGGGCGUAAAGAGCACUUAGGCGGUGUUGUAAGUCAUUAUUCAAAGACUAGAGCUCAACUUUAGUAAGGCUAGUGAUACUAUAAUACGAGAGUAUCAGAGAGGAUUGCAGAAUUCCUGGUGUAGCGGUGAAAUGCGUAGAUAUCAGGAGGAAUACCGUUAGCGAAGGCGGCAAUCUGGCUGGAAACUGACGCUGAGGUGCGAAAGCGUGGGUAGCAAACAGGAUUAGAUAUCCCUGUAGUC
rnacentral:rRNA from 1 species